rnacentral:tRNA from 1 species
CCUUCGAUAGCUCAGUUGGUAGAGCGGUGGACUGUAGUAGUUUGACGUUGAUAUCCAUAGGUCGCUGGUUCAAAUCCGGCUCGAAGGA